AGAGGGUUGAUCGCGAAGCAGAUUGAACGCUGGCGGGAUGCUUUACACAUGCAAGUCGAACGGCAGCACGGACUUCGGUCUGGUGGCGAGUGGCGAACGGGUGAAGUAAUGUAUCGGAACGUGCCUAGUAGCGGGGGAUAACUGCGGCGUAGCUAAUACAUACGCCCUUCGGGAGGCGGGGGACCUUCCGGGCCUCGCACUAUUAGAGCGGCCGAUAUCGGAUUAGCUAGUUGGUGGGGUAACGGCUCGCAAGGCGACGAUCCGUGACUGGUUUUGAGAGGACGACCAGCCACACUGGGACGGGGACACGGCCAGACUCCUACAGGAGGCAGCAGUGGGGAAUUUUGGACAAUGGGGAAACCCUGGGUGCAGCCAUCCCGCGUGCGAUGAAGGCCUUCCGGGUUGUAAAGCUUGCCUGGCAGGAAAGAAACGGCACGGGAUAAUACCCCGUGCAACUGACGACACCCCUGCAGGAGCUGGCACCGGCUAACUACGUUGCCAGCAGCCGCGGUAAUGGCGUAGGAGUGCGAGGAAGCUGCGUUAAUCAGGUGCAUGCUGGGCGUAAGCGUGCGCAGGCGGUUCGGAAAGAAAGAUGUGAAAUCCCAGAGCUUAACUUUGGAACUGCAUUUUAACUACCGAGCUAGAGUGUCAGGAGGUGGAGUGCGUGUAGCAGUGAAAUGCGUAGAUAUGCGGAGGAACACCGAUGGCGAAGGCAGCCUCCUGGGAUAACACUGACGCUCAUGCACGAAAAGCGGCUGGGAGCAAACGGAUUAGAUACCCUGGUAGUCAGCACCUGGCUGAUAUCAACCUUAGCGCUGUUGGGGCCUUCGGGCCUUGGUAGCGCAGCUAACGCGUGAAGUUGACCGCCUGGGAAGUACGGUCGCAAGAUUAAAACUCGGAAGGAAUUGACGGGGACGCACAAGCGGUGGAUGAUGUGGAUUAAUUCGAUGCAACGCGAAAAACCUUACAUGACAUGUCUGGAAUCCCGAAGAGAUUUGGGAGUGCUCGCAAAGGAACCCGGAGACACAAGGUGUGCGCCUGGCUGCUCGUCAGCUCGUGUCGUAGAUGUUGGGUUAAGUCCCGCAACGAGCGCAACCCUUGUCGGUAGUUGCUCCACGAAAGGGCACUCCUGAUAUGAGACUGCCGGUGAUGACCGGAGGAAGGUGGGGAUGACGUCAAGUCCUCAUGGCCCUUAUGGGUGAGGCCACGUCAUACAAUGGUCGGGACCGGGAGGGUCGCCAACCCGCGAGGGAGCAAAUCGCCCAGAAACCCCGAUCGUAGUCCGGAUCGCAGUCUGCAACUCGACUGCGUGAAGUCGGGUCGCUGGCAAUCGCGGAUCAGCAUGUCGCGAGUGAACACGUUCAGGUCUGUACACCGCCCGUCGCACCAUCAGAAUUAGGUUUUACCAAGUAGUUAGCCUAACCGUGGAGGCGAUUACCACGGUAGGAUUCAUGACUGGGGUGUCGUAACAAGGUAG
rnacentral:rRNA from 1 species